GCGGCCUAUCAGCUUGUUGGUGAGGUAAUGGCUCACCAAGGCGACGACGGGUAGCCGGCCUGAGAGGGUGACCGGCCACACUGGGACUGAGACACGGCCCAGACUCCUACGGGAGGCAGCAGUGGGGAAUAUUGCACAAUGGGCGAAAGCCUGAUGCAGCGACGCCGCGUGAGGGAUGACGGCCUUCGGGUUGUAAACCUCUUUCAGUAGGGAAGAAGCGAAAGUGACGGUACCUGCAGAAGAAGCGCCGGCUAACUACGUGCCAGCAGCCGCGGUAAUACGUAGGGCGCAAGCGUUAUCCGGAAUUAUUGGGCGUAAAGAGCUCGUAGGCGGUUUGUCGCGUCUGCCGUGAAAGUCCGGGGCUCAACUCCGGAUCUGCGGUGGGUACGGGCAGACUAGAGUGAUGUAGGGGAGACUGGAAUUCCUGGUGUAGCGGUGAAAUGCGCCGAUAUCAGGAGGAACAUCGACGGCGAACGCAGGGCUCUGGGUAUUAACUGACGCUGAGGAGCGCCAUCACGCAGAGUAGACUAAGACUGGAUGGUGCGCAUCACGCUGUCUUUAUCUCCGGUU
rnacentral:rRNA from 1 species